CUCCAUAGAGAGAGCAUUUUCUUGGUGAUUUAAUAAGGUGAAAAUAUCAAAUAUUGUCACAUGAAAUUGACAUGAACUUCAACGCCACAGAGAAUUGAGAAUGUUCAAGCGAGUGCGGAUUCUAUCAGAAGAGAGAGGUGUACGAUCAGAUUUGUUAGUAGCAGAUAGAGACCACCGAUGAACUCCCAGAUGGGUGAUGAUGGAAGAUGAUCGCCGUACAGAAAUGAUGAAAGCCAAGAUUGAGAUUGAUACUGACAGGUUCCUAGUAAGUAUUUGACAUUGAGGAACAAGUUUUUGGAAACAAAUAGAGAAUAUAAUCUUUGAUCGAGAAGUUUCAUAUUUUGUAAUCAAAUGUUAAUGUACAUUGUUUGAAUGUUAGUUCGGUAUGAUAUUUUCUGAGUUGAAAUGUUGGUAGUGUGGAUUUAA